AGGUUGAAUUCCAUGAAUGUUUGGUGAAUCUUAAUCUUUUUUCAUGUUUAUUUAAAAGAGUGUGGGUUUGUCCCUUUAUUUUUGUAAUUGUGGUAAAACAAACGCAGAGUGCAGGGCAGAAAUCUUAACUGUGCAACUGAGUAAAGUUUACAUAAAGUCACUGCCCAGAUCAAAAUAUAGAAUAUUUCAAAUUCUCCAGAUGCCUCUCUCUUCCCAGUCCAUAACACUUGCCCCUGGCCCAACCGAGGUGACUCUUAUUUUGACAUCUUUCACAAUACUUUGGUCUUCCUUGGACUUCAACUUCAUGUAAGUUGCAGCAAGCAUCCUUUGUUUAUAUCCUCUUUCUUGUUUCUUUACUAUCUUUGAGUGCUUCCUUUCUUCUUGCGGUUUUGAGCUGGCUCCUUAUGUCACCUCCUUGAGUCUGAAGGAUUUCCUUUGGUGGUUCUUGUAGGUCUAUCUGCCGUUGGAUUCGCUGAAAGAUCUUCCUCCAAUCAACAGUCCAACUGAAGUCCGUAUUUUCCUGGUAGUAACCUUCUAGUUUUUGUGGCCAUCCUUAUGUUGGUAGGGGACAGCUCGACUGAAUUGGGGGCAGAAGUGAGCAUUCCCAGAGAACUUGGACCCCAAGCCCUCAGAUUAAAGAGAAAUGGAAUUCUACCAGACAUCGAGCUUCAGUCACUUGGAGGUCUUAUUCCCAGAAGCAGCACUAGCCACUUUUGGACACCUUGUGUAUACUCCAGGACACAGCAAAGUAGUCUACGCACCGCAGACAAUGGGACCCCGGGUUGGCGCCGCCAGAUGCUGGAAUUACACCCGGAGAAUGAAGCAAAAAUAGAGUGACGCUUGUGGAAGUCCUCAGGGAGGGCUGUUCUCCGUGCCAUGGGGAACAGGUGGCUGGGCCUCAGGGCUCAGCACUGCUGAGAGCCGAGGCGCAGAGAGUCAGCAAGGAGCCAUCCGUGAGCCGCCCCAGCCACGUUGUUCUGGACACUGCUUAUCUGUUGAAAGGGACUCUGGGGCUUGGGACCAGACCCUGAGGAUCUUGCGGACCUCCUUCGAGGGCUCCCCACCCUUUUCACCUCACCCCAGCUUGGUUCUUCUCUGAGAGAAGCAGCUGCUCUGGCUGAUUCCCUGGAGGAAGGAGCUGCUCGGCUGAGCAGAAGGGCUGACCCCACACGGGAGGCUUGUGUCUCAGGACGUUACACUGCGCGGGGUCCCAGUGAGUGUGCUGUUCACUCAGGUGUGUGCCGUGUCCGCGAUCUCCAUGCUGGUGAUCGUGAGUGUGCAAUCUGUCCCUGACCCACUGCCACGGAACGGUCUGGGCCCCUCGGAGCCUGUGGGCCACCCUGCAGGUCAGUGGUUGCUGUGGCUUCUGCAGGAACCAGUGCAGGCCGGUGUGUCCGAUGCCAGGGGUGGGGCUGAGACUGGCCUUGCAGGCGACAGAGACACUCCCUCCCAUUGCCACAGACCAGACAGACAGAGCCUGAGUAGCACAGCUGCCCAUGGGAACCCGGAAGAAGAAAGAAACAUCAUGGAAAUGCAAAUAUGAAGUAAGACUUCUGAAAUAAAGAAAGGACGUACCAAAAUCAUUUUUCUCACAAGUGUUAGAUACUUUAUCAACUUUAGUUAAAACUUUGAACAUCUGUCCCCAGAAUCAAUGACUGAAAUAUCACAGUCUUUGUUCUUAGUUGUCUCAUGCACUGGAUGAGAAUAGCCAUCACUGUUUCUUCCCGAAUAUCGCUUCUUUGUAAAAACUAUCCCCUACCAUGAAUGCAGAGCACCAGGGGCCGGAAGCUCUGUCCUGGAAAGACCUGGCCCGGGGAACGUUAUGGAAGGAUGUCUUCAGCCUGCAUGAGCAGGAGCGGGACAAUUGUCCAGACUUACAUUGUGCUUGAAACGCUUUGUCAUAGAAGGGACUGGUUUUAGUUCCGUUACCCUUUGAUUAGAUCAUUCUGAGUCUUUCUAAAUACGAAUUGCUAUAUGACCAUAGCGUCCGCUGGAUAAUGGGCAGUAGGAGGAACUAUAAAAUUAUUGCUACAUUGAAAGGGUAAACUCGGAAAUGGAAUGAACAGUGAUGACGAUACUGAUGAUAAUGACGACGAUGAUGAUAAUGAUGACCAAAAUUCGUCUGGACCUUGGGCCCUUAGUACCAGAUAAACCCCAGUCCUCUCUGGGAAUCACUGUUGUGCGGGUGCCCCCUCUUGUGGCCAUGUGUGGGGAGACACCCUGAGGUUUUUCCUAUUUAAUUGUCUUUUCCAGGGUACAGUGUACUUUUUUGUGCACAUUUUCAAACAUGUUAUAUUUCUGACGCCUGUGACAAAUCAUAAUUAGUUUCCAGGUGCCACGCAAGUGUGUGGGCACAUUACAUAGUGAGAUGUAGUUUUCAGUUGAUGUCAAUGCUCUAUGAACUGGUGUUUCCCCACCAGGUCUGGGAUGCAAGCCCUGUGGAGGUCACUCAAAUUUUUUCGAGGCUUUCUACUUAGCAAGGAGUCACUGUGCUGUGAUCAGGAUUGGUGGUAACCUCUAUGGUUGCAACCUGCGGUGUGGUUUCAUUUUCGUCUGUCCCCCUUCCCUCCCCACCCUCACACCCCUAGGAUAUACUGGGAGCACGGGAUGAUGGCUCCCCAUGAAACUCAUCUUCAAGUUCUCCGUUUGGAUUAGAUCUUAGCUUCACUCUGUUAAGUCAUCUCACGGGAGAUGGUGCCCGGGGAUGAUUAUGGAGGGGGGACAACCUCUUCUCUCUUCUCUAAACGAAGUACAUCCUGGUUUUGAUAGAGGAUUAUGUCACUAAGUAUGGGAAGAUUCAAAUGACUUCUUCAAACUGUAUUGAAUGCAAUACAUUUGGAAGGCUGGGAGCAGUGCCUCUGUGCCUUACUUUGCUCCCUGGUUCCACAAAAGGCAAGAAGUCUGCAUAAUUCAGAGCUUUGCUAGUGUCCUUUGCCUAUGUCCCUUUAUCACUGGGCUGUUUCACUUCCUCCCCAAUAUUCUCUCAAUCCUUUAUCUAGUCCACAAUUUCUCACAGUGUUUGGCCUGAAAACGAAUGAGUGCUCUUACUUCCCAUCUGAUGAUCAUGUGCCCUGCAAUUUGUGAAGUAACAAUCUCUAUUUUUUUUAUUUUAAUGUUUUUUUUUAUUGUAUUAUGUUAGUCACCAUACAGUACAUCCCCGGUUUCCGAUGAAAAGUUCGAUGAUUCAUUAGUGCGUAACAAUCUGUAUUUUUAAUUCAGUUCACAUUCAACUUUUUUCUUAGAAAGAUUUUCCUUCUAUUGUUUAUAACAGGUUUCCACCUGGCCCAUCCAAACUUCCACCAGAUCACUCGGGAGAGCAGCUCCAUGCUCACACAGACGCUCUCUGAUCCCUGAGUCUCCCUCUAAAACAAGGAAAACCACUGUAUUCCCCCCCAUCCUUGUUGAUGACAUUUAUGGUUUUGAACGUGUGUAAGGGUAAUAUGAUUUCCAAAGGCAGAAAUAUACUAAAGCAAAAAUGUUAUGCUAAGAGAUGUCACAUCCCUGUCCCUUCUAUUUCAUUGUCAUACCACCUC